GUAAAUGCGUUGAAGAGAAGAGUAGUAAAUGAAAGUAUCUAAAGAGAGCCAGGUCAGGUGAAAGCUGGCGAUAUGGAAGUUUACGAACAUGGCCUUGGAGCAUACUGUUUGAAGUGGUAGUAGAGCAGUACGGAUUUGCAACCGUUAUAUUGCAAAGUGAUAAAUUGACCUUUCUAUUUAGGUUGAGAGUCACUUAAUGAGUUCCUUAUCGUGAGGUAGGGAAGAAUUAGAGUGGUAACGCGUAUAUUCGCCUCUAAG
rnacentral:ncRNA from 1 species